rnacentral:rRNA from 1 species
GACGAACCGUGCGACCGUUGUUCGGAAUCACUGGGCUUAAAGGGCGCGUAGGCGGGCUACCAAGUCUGUGGUGAAAUCCUCCAGCUCAACUGGAGAACGGCCGUGGAUACUGGGAGCCUCGAGGGAGAUAGGGGCAGGCGGAACUGAUGGUGGAGCGGUGAAAUGCGUUGAUAUCAUCAGGAACUCCGGUGGCGAAGGCGGCCUGCUGGAUCUCAUCUGACGCUGAGGCGCGAAAGCCAGGGGAGCAAACGGG